AUACCGACUCAUACAACCACCACGGUAGCAGAUACCAACCCAUACAACCCCCACGGUAGCAGAUACUGACUCAUACAAUGACUACAACCACCACGGUAGAAGAUACCGACUCAUACAUCCACCAGGGUAGCAGAUACUGACUCAUACAUCCACCAGGGUAGAAGAUACUGACUCAUACAACCACCACGGUAGCAGAUACUGACUCAUACAACCACCAGGGUAGCAGAUACCGACUCAUACAACCACCACGGUAGCAGAUACCGACUCAUACAACCACCACGGUAGAAGAUACUGACUCAUACAACCACCACGGUAGCAGAUACUGACUCAUACAACCACCAGGGUAGCAGAUACCGACUCAUACAACCACCACGGUAGCAGAUACCGACUCAUACAAGUGCUUUUGAAAAGUAGCCACAAGCAAAAAAAACUCUUGUGUUCUAUCGUUGGUGCGUUCAUGCAAAUGUUGUUGAUGGUAUUAUAUUUACAUACGGUAUCCGAUAAGACAUUGGACACUGGCGUUUACUCCCAGCAUGCUUUGUGAAACCACAAGGUAAACCACUUUCUACAUGUUUCAUUUUAUUAGCUCUUUAUUAUCGCCAAACAAAACCAUGUUGAUUAGGACACCUUUUCCCAGUUCAUAUUAAUAUCCUUAUAUCUGCUCUCUGCUGUUACAUCCUGUUCUUUCUGGUUUAUAAAACCACUGUUGUAUUAUUCUGAUCUGCUGCACUUUAUCUCCUCUCUGUGUGUGUGUGUGUGUGUGUGUGUGUGUGUGUGUGUGUGUGUCUGUUCAGAUUGAAGGUGCUUCUAACACAUCUAUAUUUCAUGUGAAGGGUCAGUAGUUUGAUGAGGAUUGUGUGUAUCGAGGGUAAAUUGAUGUCUGUGCCACUCCAUGUCAUGACAAAAGACACGUCAGAUAGGAUUUAAUUUAUUUUUUAUUUUAAUUUAUGGUUAGUCUAGCUGUCAAACCUAACUUUCUUUAUUCCGAAAACACUUUUUUUUUAAUGCAAAUUUAUCCACACCGUUCUGUUGUUGGUGUUACCUCCACACCAUUCUGUUGUUGGGGUUACCUCCACACCGUUCUGUUGUUAGGGUUACCUCCACACCGUUCUGUUAACUCACCGUUCUGUUGUUGGGGUUACCUCCACACCGUUCUGCUAACUCACCGUUCUGUUGUUAGGGAUACCUCCACACUGUUCUGUUGUUGGGGUUACCUCCACACCGUUCUGUUGUUGGGGUUACCGUUCCACACCGUUACCUCCCCCGUCGUCACCGAGA
rnacentral:lncRNA from 1 species